rnacentral:rRNA from 1 species
GACGAACGCUGGCGGCGUGCUUAACACAUGCAAGUCGAACGGGGAGGCCCCUUUUGGGGUCCUCGAGUGGCGCACGGGGGCGUAAAACGUUAGUAAACUGGCCUUGACUUCGGGGAAACUUCAGGAAACGGGGGCUAAUACCGGAUAGGAAUCCAUGCUGCAUGGUGGGGGUUGGAAAGCUUCGGCGGUUUUGGAUGGACUCGCGGCUUAUCAGCUUGUUGGUGGGGUAGUGGCUUACCAAGGCUAUGACGGGUAGCCGGCCUGAGAGGGCGACCGGCCACAUUGGGACUGAGAUACGGCCCAGACUCCUACGGGAGGCAGCAGUGGGGAAUAUUGCACAAUGGGCGGAAGCCUGAUGCAGCAACGCCGCGUGCGGGAUGACCGCCUUCGGGUUGUAAGCCGCUUUCAGCAGGGGCGAAGCGUGUGGUGACGGUACCUGCAGAAGAAGCACCGGCUAACUACGUG